GCAUAUCAAUAAGCGGAGGAAAAGAAACCAACAGGGAUUGCCUCAGUAACGGCGAGUGAAGCGGCAACAGCUCAAAUUUGAAAUCUGGCCUCUUCGGGGCCCGAGUUGUAAUUUGCAGAGGAUGCUUCGGCUUCGGCGCCGGUCUAAGUUCCUUGGAACGGGACGUCGCAGAGGGUGAGAGCCCCGUACGUGACCGGCCGCCUCCGCCGCGUGAAGCUCCUUCGACGAGUCGAGUUGUUUGGGAAUGCAGCUCUAAAUGGGAGGUAAAUUUCUUCUAAAGCUAAAUACUGGCCAGAGACCGAUAGCGCACAAGUAGAGUGAUCGAAAGAUGAAAAGCACUUUGGAAAGAGAGUUAAAAAGUACGUGAAAUUGUUGAAAGGGAAGCGCUUGCGACCAGACCUGUCCGCGGUUGCUCAUCCGGGCUCCUGCCCGGUGCACUCUUCCGCGGUCAGGCCAGCAUCGGUUUCGGCGGUCGGAUAAAGGCGUCGGGAAUGUGGCUCCCUUCGGGGAGUGUUAUAGCCCGUCGCGCAAUGCGGCCAGCCGGGACCGAGGUCCGCGCUUCGGCUAGGAUGCUGGCGUAAUGGUCGCAAGCGGCCCGUCUUGAAACACGGACCAAGGAGUCUAACAUCUAUGCGAGUGUUUGGGUGUCAAACCCGUGCGCGUAAUGAAAGUGAACGGAGGCGGGAACCCUUCGGGGCGCACCGUCGACCGAUCCUGAUGUCUUCGGAUGGAUUUGAGUAAGAGCAUAGCUGUUGGGACCCGAAAGAUGGUGAACUAUGCCUGAAUAGGGUGAAGCCAGAGGAAACUCUGGUGGAGGCUCGCAGCGGUUCUGACGUGCAAAUCGAUCGUCAAAUUUGGGCAUAGGGGCGAAAGACUAAUCGAACUAUCUAGUAGCUGGUUUCUGCG
rnacentral:rRNA from 1 species